UGGGGAAUCUUGCACAAUGGGCGAAAGCCUGAUGCAGCAACGCCGCGUGCGGGAAGACAGCCCUAGGGUUGUAAACCGCUUUCAGCAGGGAAGAAACUGACGGUACCUGCAGAAGAAGAUGCGGCCAACUACGUGCCAGCAGCCGCGGUGACACGUAGGCAUCAAGCGUUAUCCGGAUUUAUUGGGCGUAAAGAGCUCGUAGGCGGUUCGGUAAGUCGGGUGUGAAACUCUGGGCUCAACCCAGAGAGGCCACUCGAUACUGCUGUGACUAGAGUGCGGUAGGGGAGCGGGGAAUUCCUGGUGUAGCGGUGAAAUGCGCAGAUAUCAGGAGGAACACCAGUGGCGAAGGCGCCGCUCUGGGCCGUAACUGACGCUGAGGAGCGAAAGCAUGGGUAGCAAACAGGAUUAGAUACCCUGGUAGUCCAUGCCGUAAACGUUGGGCACUAGGUGUGGGGUCUCAACCGAACGAGAUCCGCGCCGUCGCUAACGCAUU
rnacentral:rRNA from 1 species